rnacentral:rRNA from 1 species
UACGUAGGGUGCAAGCGUUGUCCGGAAUUAUUGGGCGUAAAGAGCUCGUAGGCGGUUUGUUGCGUCGGCUGUGAAAUCCCGAGGCUCAACCUCGGGUCUGCAGUCGAUACGAGCAAACUAGAGUGUUGCAGGGGAGACUGGAAUUCCUGGUGUAGCGGUGAAAUGCGCAGAUAUCAGGAGGAACACCAGUGGCGAAGGCGAAUCUCUGGACAGUUACUGACACUGAGGCACGAAGGCCAGGGGAGCAAACGGG